UACGGAGGGGGCUAGCGUUGUUCGGAAUUACUGGGCGUAAAGCGCACGUAGGCGGCUUUGUAAGUUAGAGGUGAAAGCCCGGGGCUCAACUCCGGAAUUGCCUUUAAGACUGCAUCGCUAGAAUUGUGGAGAGGUAAGUGGAAUUCCGAGUGUAGAGGUGAAAUUCGUAGAUAUUCGGAAGAACACCAGUGGCGAAGGCGACUUACUGGGCACAUAUUGACGCUGAGGUGCGAAAGCGUGGGGAGCAAACAGG
rnacentral:rRNA from 1 species